GGAGAGGUGGCCGAGUUGGUUGAAGGCGCCUGACUCGAAAUCAGGUGUACGGCAAACCCGUACCGGGGGUUCGAAUCCCUCCCUCUCCG
rnacentral:tRNA from 1 species